GAUGAACGCUGGCGGCAUGCCUAACACAUGCAAGUCGGACGGGAAGAGGUGUUUCUAGCGGCGGUCGGGUGAGUGACGCGUAAGAACCUGCCAUGGGGAUGGGAACAACAGCUGGAUACGGUCGCUAAUAGCACGCAGGCCGAGGAGCAAAAGGUGGAAUCCGCCCGAGGAGGGGCUCGCGUCUGAUUAGCUAGUUGGUAAGGUAAUAGCUUACCUAGGCGAUGAUCAGUAGGUGUUCCGAGAGGACGAUCAGCCACACUGGUACUGAGAGACGGCGUUGAGAAUUAUGGGAGACAGGAGAAAGGAAUUUUCCGCAAUGGGCGAAGGGCUAACAAGGCAAUGGCACGGGAAAGUACUAUGCCCACGGAUCAAGAACUGCUUUUCCAGGAGAAGAAGUAUUGACGGUACCUGGAGAAUAAGCAUCGGCUAACUCUGUG
rnacentral:rRNA from 1 species